CCUACGGGAGGCAGCAGUGAGGAAUAUUGGUCAAUGGCCGAGAGUCUGAACCAGCCAAGUCGCGUGAGGGAAGACGGCCCUCUGGGUUGUAAACCUCUUUUGUAGGGGAGUAAAUUGAUCCACGUGUGGGUUCUUGUGUGUACCCUAUCAAAAAGGAUCGGCUAACUCCGUGCCAGCAGCCGCGGUAAUACGGGGGAUCCGAGCGUUAUCCGGUUUUAUUGGGGUUAAAGGGAGCGGAGGGGGAGUGUUAUGUCAGGUGUGAAAUUGCGGGGUUUAACCUUAGUAGUGCAGUUGAAACUGGAAGACUUGAGUGCAGGAGAGGUGGGCGGAAUGCGUGGUGUAGCGGUGAAAUGCGUAGAUAUCACGAAGAACUCCGAUUGCGAAGGCAGCUCACUGGACUGCAACUGACGCUGAGGCUCGAAAGCGUGGGUAGCAAACAGGAUUAGAUACCCGUGUAGUC
rnacentral:rRNA from 1 species